rnacentral:lncRNA from 1 species
UUUCUCUGCUCAUUCAUCUUCACGUUCAUCUCCACUUCUCUGAAUUUCUAUAACAAAAAUGGCCUCCAUCUCCUUCACAUUAUUCUUUCCACACUUUUCAGCCUUUCUCUUUUAGAUAAUAAUAAUUUGAUGUUUCUCUAAUUUGCUCUUAUUUCUUUCCCUAUUUUCCUUUUCAACUUUACUCUUUCUUUCUCACUCUUGUCUUAACUCUCUGAUAGUUUUCCUUUCUACCUCUUUUUAUCACUUCAAAGACUUUUUUCAGACACAAACCAAGGAUGAGCUAAUUUACCACAGUGAAUGUA